rnacentral:rRNA from 1 species
CCUACGGGCGGCAGCAGUGGGGAAUAUUGGACAAUGGGGGCAACCCUGAUCCAGCCAUGCCGCGUGUGUAAAGAAGGCCCUCGGGUUGUAAAGCACUUUCAGUGAGGAAGAACGCCUGGUGGUUAAUACCCAUCAGGAAAGACAUCACUCACAGAAGAAGCACCGGCUAACUCCGUGCCAGCAGCCGCGGUAAUACGGAGGGUGCGAGCGUUAAUCGGAAUUACUGGGCGUAAAGCGCGCGUAGGUGGCUUGAUAAGCCGGUUGUGAAAGCCCCGGGCUCAACCUGGAAACGGCAUCCGGAACUGUCAAGCUAGAGUGCAGGAGAGGAAGGUAGAAUUCCCGGUGUAGCGGUGAAAUGCGUAGAGAUCGGGAGGAAUACCAGUGGCGAAGGCGGCCUUCUGGACUGACACUGACACUGAGGUGCGAAAGCGUGGGUAGCAAACAGGAUUAGAUACCCCAGUAGUC